rnacentral:rRNA from 1 species
UCAAGCGUCUAAGGGCAUCUGGUGGAUGCCUUGGCACCAAGAAGCGAUGAAGGACGUGGCACGCUGCGUAAAGCCGCGGGGAGGGGCGAGCACCCUUUGAUCCGCGGAUGUCCGAAUGGGGAAACCCGGCCCUUUGGGUCAUCCCAUGCUGAAUCCAUAGGCAUGGGAAGCAAACCCGGCGAACUGAAACAUCUCAGUAGCUGGAGGAAAGGAAAUCAACCGAGACUCCGCUAGUAGUGGCGAGCGAACGCGGACCAGGCCAGUGGCCUAAUUGAGCGAACCGGAACCGUCUGGAAAGUCGGGCCGUAGCGGGUGAUAGCCCCGUACGGGUAAGAGCUCUUUUAGGUCCUCGAGUAGGGCGGGACACGUGAAAUCCUGUCUGAACGUGGGGGGACCACCCUCCAAGCCUAAGUAUUCCUUGGUGACCGAUAGUGUACCAGUACCGUGAGGGAAAGGUGAAAAGCACCCCGAUGAGGGGAGUGAAAUAGACCUGAAACCGGAUGCCUACAAGCAGUGGGAGCCUCUAUAAGGGGUGACCGCGUACCUUUUGUAUAAUGGGUCAGCGAGUUAGUCUGUGCAGCAAGCUUAAGCCGUUAGGUGUAGGCGUAGCGAAAGCGAGUCUGAAUAGGGCGAUUGAGUUGCACGGAUUAGACCCGAAACCGAGUGAUCUAGCCAUGGGCAGGCUGAAGGUGCGGUAACACGCUCUGGAGGGCCGAACCCACGUCUGUUGAAAAAGACGGGGAUGACCUGUGGUUAGGGGUGAAAGGCCAAUCAAACUCGGAAAUAGCUGGUUCUCCGCGAAAGCUAUUUAGGUAGCGCGUCGUAGCGAUUACCGCCGGGGGUAGAGCACUGGAUGGGCUAGGGGGGCGCGAGCCUUACCAAACCUAACCAAACUCCGAAUACCGGUGAGUACAGCACGGCAGACAGACGGCGGGUGCUAACGUCCGUCGUCAAGAGGGAAACAACCCAGACCACCAUCUAAGGUCCCCAAGUCAUGGCUAAGUGGGAAAGGAUGUGGGAAGGCCAAGACAGCCAGGAGGUUGGCUUAGAAGCAGCCAUCCUUUAAAGAAAGCGUAAUAGCUCACUGGUCUAGAUAAGCCGUCCUGCGCCGAAAAUGUAUCGGGGCUCAAGCCAUGCACCGAAGAUGUGGGAUAUCCGCAAGGGUAUCGGUAGCGGAGCGUUCCGUAGGCCUGCGAAGGGAGAGGGGUGACCCCUCCUGGAGGUAUCGGAAGUGAGAAUGCUGACAUGAGUAGCGACAAAGAGUGUGAGAAACACUCUCGCCGAAAGCCCAAGGGUUCCUGCGCAAGGUUAAUCCGCGCAGGGUGAGCCGGCUCCUAAGACGAGGGCGACAGCCGUAGUCGAUGGGAAUGGGGUUAAUAUUCCCCAGCCUGCUAGAGGUGACGAAGGCCGGUAGUUGUAUCUCCUUAUCGGAUUGGGGGUGCAGCGUAGGACUUCCAGGAAAUAGCCCUAGCAUAUAGACCGUACCCGAAACCGACACAGGUGGGCAGGUAGAGUAUACCAAGGCGCUUGAGAGAAUGAUGUUGAAGGAACUCGGCAAAUUACCCUCGUAACUUCGGGAUAAGAGGGACCUCCCAUUGGGCAACCAGUGGGUGGUGGCACAGACCAGGGGGUGGCGACUGUUUACUAAAAACACAGGGCUCUGCGAAGCCGCAAGGCGACGUAUAGGGUCUGACGCCUGCCCGGUGCCGGAAGGUUAAAAGGAGGGGUGCAAGCUCCGAAUUGAAGCCCCGGUAAACGGCGGCCGUAACUAUAACGGUCCUAAGGUAGCGAAAUUCCUUGUCGGGUAAGUUCCGACCUGCACGAAUGGCGUAACGACUUCCCCGCUGUCUCCAACAUCAACUCAGCGAAAUUGAACUCUCCGUGAAGAUGCGGAGUUCCCGCGGUCAGACGGAAAGACCCCGUGCACCUUUACUACAGCUUUGCAGUGGUAUCAGGAGUUGGAUGUGUAGGAUAGGCGGGAGCCUUUGAAGCGUAGGCGCUAGCUUGCGUGGAGGCACCCUUGAAAUACCGCCCUUCUGUCUUCUGAUAUCUAACCGCGGCCCGUUAUCCGGGUCCGGGACCCUGCAUGGCGGGUAGUUUGACUGGGGCGGUCGCCUCCCAAAGAGUAACGGAGGCGCGCGAUGGUGGGCUCAGGCUGGUCGGACAUCAGCUGACGAGUGCAAUGGCAUAAGCCCGCCUGACUGUGAGGCAGACAUGCCGAACAGAGACGAAAGUCGGUCAUAGUGAUCCGGUGGUCCCACGUGGACGGGCCAUCGCUCAACGGAUAAAAGGUACGCCGGGGAUAACAGGCUGAUAACCCCCAAGAGUCCAUAUCGACGGGGUUGUUUGGCACCUCGAUGUCGGCUCAUCACAUCCUGGGGCUGGAGCAGGUCCCAAGGGUUCGGCUGUUCGCCGAUUAAAGUGGUACGUGAGCUGGGUUUAGAACGUCGUGAGACAGUUCGGUCCCUAUCUGCCGUGGGUGUUCGAGACUUGAGAGGAUCUGUCCCUAGUACGAGAGGACCGGGAUGGACGUACCUCUGGUGUACCUGUUGUCGCGCCAGCGGCACCGCAGGGUAGCUAUGUACGGACGGGAUAACCGCUGAAAGCAUCUAAGCGGGAAACCCCCCUCAAAACCAGGUCUCGCUUGAGAGCCGUGAUAGACCAUCACGUCGAUAGGCCAGGGGUGUAAGCGUGGUAACACGUUCAGCUGACUGGUACUAAUCGCUCGAUAGGCUUGAUCAG